rnacentral:rRNA from 1 species
UACGUAGGGGGCGAGCGUUGUUCGGAAUUACUGGGCGUAAAGGGCGCGUAGGCGGCCUGUUAAGUCGAACGUGAAAUCCCUGGGCUCAACCCAGGAACUGCGUCCGAUACUGGCAGGCUUGAAUUCGGGAGAGGGAUGCGGAAUUCCAGGUGUAGCGGUGAAAUGCGUAGAGAUCCGAAGGAACGCCGGUGGCGAAAGCGGCGGACUGGGCACCUUCUGACGCUGAGGCGCGAAAGCCAGGGGAGCAAACGGG